rnacentral:lncRNA from 1 species
ACUGGCGUGCGGCUCUGAGGGUGAGCGGAGCCGCCGUUUGUUCAUCCCAGAGCUUUUGUCAUGCCCGAAAUCUAGAUCACAGUAACAAUCCAGAAUCAGAUGGUCUGCGACUGAUGUGUCACUUGGGUCCCUGCUCAGCAGAAGUGCUGUAGUCUACAGGUACAGAAGCUUACAAGCAAACAUGGGCCUACACUGGAAUCAAGGAUUUUGGUUCCAUUCAUUGCAGAAAACAUGGCACACUGAUUGAUGUGGCUGCGAGAGCUUUUGCUUGGAUAAGUGAAUCUUGGAACUCCCUGAGUCUCAUAGGAUGUUUGAAGAAGAAUGUUAAUGUACAGAUCAUUCACCUCAUCUGUUUUGAUUUUACACAGGUGAAGAGCUCAUUAUUGAAACAAGAAUUCUGUACAAAUAUUGGGCUAAGAAAUUUAUGCAAUUAUCUCACAAAGAUAAAUAGCAAAUGCAGUCCUGUGGUCUUUGGCCAAAAUGCUUGUAAUGUGGAAGGCUGAAGUUGUCAGCAGAAUAAUCUUACCAACAUUUAAAUCAGACAGUUUAGAAUGUGGGUGCCUUAUUUUAAUCUCUUUAGGGUUGCUAAGUGCAUGUAAUAUGUGCUUUCAUUGAUACAAAGCCUUCACUCUUG